CUAGUUCUGACCGUAAACGAUGCCAACUAGCGAUCCGCCGGUGGCUACCAGGCCCUGGUGGGGAGCUUCCCGGAAACGAAAGUCUUCCGGUUCCGGGGGAAGUAUGGUUGCAAAGCUGAAACUUAAAGGAAUUGACGGAAGGGCACCACCAGGAGUGGAGCCUGCGGCUUAAUUUGACUCAACACGGGAAAACUCACCCGGCCCGGACACCGUAAGGAUUGACAGAUUGAUAGCUUUUUCAUGAUUCGGUGGUUGGUGGUGCAUGGCCGUUCUUAGUUCGUGGAUCGAUUU
rnacentral:rRNA from 1 species